rnacentral:sRNA from 1 species
GUCAGCCUGGCUGUCCGGGCACCCUUUUGCAAUUUUCGUUUGAAUUGAUUUUUUUAAAAGCACCUGAUAUACACUUUUCUUCUUAUUCUUCUCCUUCUAGUCCUCUAUUCAAGGCCCUACCACAGAGACACACAGGAAUGGAACUCAGAAUCACAAACAAACAAACUUUGAUCCAAGAAAGAAAAUGAUCUUUAAAAAGACCCUCGUUUCAUGCUGGCCAAUGCUGAGAAAAUCUGCUCUGGAGGAUAUUUGGAGACACUGAUUAAAAGAUGGUUGUCCCAGUGGAGGGGGAUUCUUCGUGUUACGUAGAUAGCAAGCACGAUGCAAAAGUGUUGAAGCAGGAGUGUAAAGAAUAAUUAAAACACCUGCCCAAGACCCAAGCAAGGAUAGGAUUUCCCAGACAUUCCCGAGGGAGAAAAUGCCAUGUCCUUUCCUUCUGGUGUCACAUCAGAAUCUGAAGGCUGCUAGAGAAGAGAGAGAAACAUGAAAGUGAGUCCCAUGCUGAUUGUUGUUGAAAUACCUGGAAAGAAACUGGCAAAGACUAUCCAAGGGAUGCUAAGACAUGUCCGAACUUACAAAACAGUAGAACCUGAAUAGGAAUUUGAAGUUGUCUAUACUCAGCCACACCCUGCCAUUUUACAGACUGUCUUCUCUG